UACAGAGGGGGGCAAGCGUUGUUCGGAAUUACUGGGCGUAAAGGGCGCGUAGGCGGCCCGCUAAGUCGAACGUGAAAUCCCCGGGCUCAACCCGGGAACUGCGUCCGAUACUGGCAGGCUUGAAUCCGGGAGAGGGAUGCGGAAUUCCCGGUGUAGAGGUGAAAUUCGUAGAUAUCGGGAGGAACACCGGUGGCGAAGGCGGCGACCUGGGUAGAUACUGACGCUGAGGUGCGAAAGCGUGGGGAGCAAGCAGG
rnacentral:rRNA from 1 species